rnacentral:rRNA from 1 species
AUCCUGGCUUAGGAUGAACGCUAGCUACAGGCUACACAUGCAAGUCGAGGGGCGAGCGGGGAUCUAGCUUGCUAGAUUGCCGGCGACCGGCGCACGGGUGAGUAACGCGUAUCCAACCUUCCCCUUAGUAGGGCAUAGCCCGUAGAAAUGCGGAUUAAUACCCUAUGUUGUUCGAUGCGGACAUCUAAGUUGAACCAAAGGUUUACCGCUAAGGGAUGGGGAUGCGUCCGAUUAGGCAGCAGGCGGGGUAACGGCCCACCUGGCCGACGAUCGGUAGGGUUCUGAGAGGAAGGUCCCCCACAUUGGAACUGAGACACGGUCCAAACUCCUACGGGAGGCAGCAGUGAGGAAUAUUGGUCAAUGGGCGAGAGCCUGAACCAGCCAAGUAGCGUGCAGGAUGACGGCCCUAUGGGUUGUAAACUGCUUUUAUGCGGGGAUAAAGUGAGGGACGUGUCCCUUAUUGUAGGUACCGCAUGAAUAAGGACCGGCUAAUUCCGUGCCAGCCGCGGC